GCCGAAGUGGCGGAACUGGCAGACGCACUGGACUCAAAAUCCAGCGUUGGCAACAACGUGUGGGUUCGACUCCCACCUUCGGCA
rnacentral:tRNA from 1 species